ACUAGCUAAGACCAAAUUCUCACAUGUCCCUUUCGUUAUUACAACCUUCUUUUUUGAUGUCACAGACCAGAAGCUACGCGCAAAUUCUUUAUAUCCAAAACUUCCGUUUAUCAAAGAAUAUUACAACCAAAGCCACAACUAGACUAAGCUCAGCAAAACCGGGAAAUAUGGUUACUCGAAAUCUGUUCCUUGGAAUGAAAUGCUUCCGGAAUCCAAGUGUGUACAUAAGGCUGGUCUGCAUUUUAGUAGAAGAAAGAUGGUUAAAACUCAAACAUAUGACAAACAGGAAACAAAAACACAUGAAAGUUACGUGAAAGCUAACGCUGCAAAUGACUCAAUAGUACAAAAACCAGAAUUGAGAAGGCAGCAAGAAACUGUAUAGUCUAAGGAUCUGUCCAAACCUACACUUUCAAGCACAACUCAUGUAAAUAUAGAUCUACCAGGGAACAGCAUUUACCUGACAAAAUGUCACAAUGCGACCAAUGACUAGAUGCUAUACCACAUUGUAUGGGAAAUAGUCGAGCCAAAUGUUAAUCUAGGGUUGACAGAGUGUUUUUACUGCCAACUCUAAUGCCUAACACAGUUCUAUAGUGCAAUUUAAAAUCCAAGGAUUCAAUGAGAAACAAGUAUAUUAUACAACCAAAAAAUUGCCCCCUGGGGUAAAAUAAAAACGAAGAAGUAUCAUGCUAUGUGUGUGUGUGUGUAUAUGGCCCUAGGGUGAACCUUGAUUGUUUCUUUGACAAUGCAAGAUAUGAAGUAUGAUGCACGAUGUGAAACCAUUUGAGCUUUUCCCUGAUAAAUUCUGGAAAAGAUAAAUAUUUGUGUAGGACAAACGAGCGAUGUCUUGGGGGUUUGGGGGUAGGAUGGAAAGUCAGUAAAAGUCUUUUUUUCUCCUCCUAUAAACAUAUUCUUCAUAACUACAGAAAACACAUUGAAUAGCCAUAUCCUGUGUGGAAGAUUCCUAAUAGAGCUUAUGUUGGUUUUAGCAGAAGACGUGUAAACUAAUUCAUCUCCAGCCCAUUUAAGGC
rnacentral:lncRNA from 1 species